rnacentral:rRNA from 1 species
UACGUAGGGUGCGAGCGUUAAUCGGAAUUACUGGGCGUAAAGCGUGCGCAGGCGGCGCGUUAAGACAGGUGUGAAAGCCCCGAGCUUAACUUGGGAAUUGCGCUUGUGACUGGCGUGCUGGAGUGUGGCAGAGGGAGGUGGAAUUCCACGUGUAGCAGUGAAAUGCGUAGAGAUGUGGAGGAACACCGAUGGCGAAGGCAGCCUCCUGGGCCAGCACUGACGCUAAAGAGCGAAAGCGUGGGUAGCGAACAGG